GCCAGUAUGGCACAAUGGUUUGAGUGUGGGACUGUGACUCUGGAGUCCAGGGUUCAAUUCUCGGCUCAGUCG